GGCCUUUUUUUGUCUAUUCUCAAUUUGGAAAUAUGUGUUCUUGUUUAGAGCUUGCAGAAUACCGUUGUACUUAACUGAGGUUGAUGCCUUUUGGUGAUUAUCAUUUAGUUUUUGUUUUUGUAGAGAAAGGAGAAAAAACUAUUUUUGAGAGAAAUGGCAGCUCAUUUGGAGAAAGAUAAACUGAUGUUUCUGGGGAAUAUUGCUGUUAAAUUGAAGAGUUUGGUGCAAUCAAAGGAGGAACGAGAGAGGAUUUGGAAAGUAAUAUCAGUUGAACUUGAGAGGGAGAUGCAAUUCAAGGAACAAGAUUGGUUCACAUUUGAAGAGGAAAAUGCAUUUAGGUCACUCCACAAAUAAGAUCAGGUAUGCGAGUCAAGUGAGAAUCAGGCAGAGCUGCAUGGGGCCGCAUCAACAGAAUCACCCCCCCUCCCCGCCAUCAUGGUGGAUUACUAUGUGUAACCAAAAGCCUUGGCAGAACAUUCAACUCCCAUAACAGUAUGCAGACAAUGCUCCACACGAUGGGGGUUCUCCGAGAAUGGAGGAGGAGCCUGAGUACAUUCCAAUGCAGAGAGGUAUCAUCCUGAGGCACAUGCACUAGCACCUAGUACAGUUCGCCACUUUACUGGAUUUGCACGGCGCGCACCUACAGAUCUUUUACUACGGGAGCCAGAGUCUCACUUGUCCCAU